CAAUAGCGUAUAUUAAAGUUGUUGCAGUUAAAAAGCUCGUAGUUGGAUUUCUGGUGGGAGCGAUCGGUCUGGCGCUUAGCGCGAGUACUUGCAUCGUCUCCGGCCAUCCUUGGGGAGAGUCUGUCUGGCAUUAGGUUGUCGGGCAGAGGAUCCUCAUCGUUUACUGUGAAAAAAUUAGAGUGUUCAAAGCAGGCUUAUGCCGUUGAAUAUAUUAGCAUGGAAUAAUAAGAUAGGACUUUGGUACUAUUUUGUUGGUUUGCGCACCAAAGUAAUGAUUAAUAGGGACAGUUGGGGGAAUUCGUAUUCCGUUGUCAGAGGUGAAAUUCUUGGAUUUACGGAAGACGAACUACUGCGAAAGCAUUUACCAAGGAUGUUUUCAUUAA
rnacentral:rRNA from 1 species